rnacentral:rRNA from 1 species
CUACGGGAGGCUGCAGUGAGGAAUAUUGCACAAUGGGGGGAACCCUGAUGCAGCAACGCCGCGUGGAGGAUGACGCAUUUCGGUGCGUAAACUCCUUUUAUAUGUCAAGAAAAUGACGGUAGCAUAUGAAUAAGCACCGGCUAACUCCGUGCCAGCAGGCCGCGGUAAUACGGAGGGUGCAAGCGUUACUCGGAAUCACUGGGCGUAAAGGACGCGUAGGCGGGUUGGAAAGUCAGGUGUGAAAUCCUACAGCUUAACUGUAGAACUGCACUUGAAACUUCUAAUCUCGAGUAUGGGAGGGGGAGAUGGAAUUAGUGGUGUAGGGGUAAAAUCCGUAGAUAUCACUAGGAAUACCUAAAGCGAAGGCGAUCUCCUGGAACAUUACUGACGCUAAGGCGUGAAAGCGUGGGGAGCAAACAGGAUUAGAUACCCUGGUAGUC